GCCGGUAUAGCUCAGUUGGUAGAGCAACUGAUUUGUAAUCAGUAGGUCUUCGGUUCGAGUCCGAAUCCCGGCUUCA
rnacentral:tRNA from 1 species